UAGGGAAUCUUCCACAAUGGACGCAAGUCUGGUGGAGCAACGCCGCGUGAGUGAAGAAGGGUUUCGGCUCGUAAAGCUACUGUUGUUAAAGAAGAACGUGGGUAAGAGUAACUGUUUACCCAGUGACGGUAUUUAACCAGAAAGCCACGGCUAACUACGUGCCGAG
rnacentral:rRNA from 1 species